GAUUUUCACAGUCUUCCAGUGGCACAAGACCGUACAUGCCUCCGGAGUAUUAUGACAGAGGCUUUUACCAUGCAAAGCCCGCAACAGUGUUUUCACUGGGGGUGCUUCUGUUCUGUUCUGUUCGUAAUGCUGCCUGGAUGUUUUCCACAAGCCAGUGAAUUAUACUUCUUGAGCAAUGACCAGUCCAUGUUUGCUGUGUCACAAGAAUGCAUCUAUUUUUUGUCGGCUUGUCUGCAGAGUCAUACAGAGAACAGGAUUCUUCUGGAGCAAAUGUCUUAUCAUGACUGGUUGAUGUUGGGUUUUCAUAAACACCCACCACGUAAUUACAUCUAACCUGCAUUCCCAUCAUCGAUAAAAGUCACUGCAUAAGACAUGGAGAAAAGCAGAAAACGGCCACCCAGUGGUUUUCUCUCUUCAGUCAGCAUUGUGUCUGGCAGGCUAACAUGAGUGGCAUUUCUGUCCCUUAGGGAUGUUUAAAUAUUGAAUAUUGUAUAUACAUAGUGUAAAUACUUUUUUAAUAAUUAAAAUAAUUAUUAUAUACUUACGCCUUAUUACAGGCCUAGGGAGUUAAAAAUAUUGUAUAUUGUAUAUACCGUAAACAGUUUUAUACUUUUUAUAUUUGAAAUAUGUAUUAUAUUAUCCCUCCGCUUAGGCUGUAUUACAGGCUUAGGGAUGUUUAAAUCGUAGUAUAUUGUGUAUAUAGUGUAAAUAGUUUUAUACUAUAUUUAAAAUAUUUAUUUAACAUCUCUCUACAUAGGACUUAUUACUUUCUUAGGG
ensembl:lncRNA